rnacentral:rRNA from 1 species
UACGUAGGAGGCGAGCGUUGUCCGGAGUUACUGGGCGUAAAGGGUGCGCAGGCGGCGUCACGCGUGGAUAGUUGAAAUCUCCUGGCUUACCUGGGAGGGUGGUAUCCAGACGGUGGCGCUUGAGGGUCGGAGAGGGGCGUGGAAUUCCGGGUGGAGCGGUGAAAUGCGUAGAUAUCGGGAGGAACACCUGUGGCGAAAGCGGCGCACUGGACCACAACUGACGCUGAGGCGCGAAAGCUAGGGGAGCAAACAGG